rnacentral:rRNA from 1 species
UACGAAGGGGGCAAGCGUUGUUCGGAAUUACUGGGCGUAAAGGGCGCGUAGGCGGCUUAUCAAGUCAGGCGUGAAAUUCCCGGGCUCAACCUGGGGGCUGCGCUUGAUACUGAUUGGCUUGAAUGCGGGAGAGGAUAGUGGAAUUCCCAGUGUAGAGGUGAAAUUCGUAGAUAUUGGGAAGAACACCGGUGGCGAAGGCGGCUCACUGGCCCGGUACUGACGCUGAGGUGCGAAAGCGUGGGGAGCAAACAGG